GCUGGGUGUGGUGGUGCGCACCUGUAGUUCCAGCUACUUGGGAGGCUGAGGCAGGAGAAUCACUUGAACCCGGGAGGCGGAGGUUGCAGUGAGCCAAGAUCAGGCUACUGCACUCCAGCCUGGGCAACAGAGUGAGACUCUGUCUCAA
rfam:Papio anubis isolate 1X1155 chromosome 1, whole genome shotgun sequence.